UAUGGUCUCCGAGCCUAUCCUCCUGUGGGUUUACCUGUGGAGACAGGCCAAUAGGGUAUCGCUGGAAACGGUGGUGCCUCCCGUGUUUGGAAAGGAGAGUUUA
rnacentral:ncRNA from 1 species